rnacentral:rRNA from 1 species
UUCCAGACUCCUACGGGAGGCAGCAGUGGGGGAUAUUGCACAAUGGGGGAAACCCUGAUGCAGCAACGCCGCGUGAGUGAAGAAGUAUUUCGGUAUGUAAAGCUCUAUCAGCAGGGAAGAGAAUGACGGUACCUGACUAAGAAGCCCCGGCUAACUACGUGCCAGCAGCCGCGGUAAUACGUAGGGGGCGAGCGUUAUCCGGAUUCACUGGGCGUAAAGGGAGCGCAGGCGGCACGGCAAGUCCGGUGUGAAAGCCCGGGGCCCAACCCCGGGACUGCACUGGAAACUGCCGGGCUGGAGUGUCGGAGGGGCAGGCGGAAUUCCUAGUGUAGCGGUGAAAUGCGUAGAUAUUAGGAGGAACACCGGUGGCGAAGGCGGCCUGCUGGACGACGACUGACGCUGAGGCUCGAAAGUGUGGGGAGCAAACAGGAUUAGAUACCCCGGUAACA